UCCGAGUUGACCCCGGCAGUCUCCUGCGAGUCCCCGCCAUUACGCGCUGGCAACACAGGACAAGGGUUGCGCUCGUUGCGGGACUUAACCCAACAUCUCACGACACGAGCUGACGACAGCCAUGCACCACCUGUCACCCAGUCCGAAGAGGGCCUUGUCUCCAAGGCUUUCCGGGUGAUGUCAAACCCAGGUAAGGUUCUUCGCGUUGCAUCGAAUUAAUCCACAUGCUCCGCCGCUUGUGCGGGCUCCCGUCAAUUCCUUUGAGUUUUAGCCUUGCGGCCGUACUCCCCAGGCGGGACACUUAACGCGUUAACUGCGGCACAGAGGGAUUCGACUCCCCCCACACCUAGUGUCCAUCGUCUACGGCUAGGACUAC
rnacentral:misc_RNA from 1 species